rnacentral:tRNA from 1 species
GCCGAGGUGGCGGAACAGGCAGACGCGCACGACUCAAAAUCGUGUGGGUUACCCCCGUGAGGGUUCGACUCCCUCCCUCGGCACCA